UGGGGAAUUUUCCGCAAUGGGCGAAAGCCUGACGGAGCCAGACCGCGUGAGGGAGGAAGGCCCUUGGGUUGUAAACCUCUUUUGUCAGGGAAGAAAAAAAUGACGGUACCUGACGAAUCAGCCUCGGCUAACUCCGUGCCAGCAGCCGCGGUAAUACGGAGGAGGCAAGCGUUAUCCGGAAUUAUUGGGCGUAAAGCGUCCGCAGGUGGCCGUUCAAGUCUGCUGUCAAAUCCGGUAGCUCAACUACCGUCAGGCAGUGGAAACUGAACAGCUAGAGAGUCGUAGGGGUAGAGGGAAUUCCCGGUGUAGCGGUGAAAUGCGUAGAGAUCGGGAAGAACAUCGGUGGCGAAGGCGCUCUACUGGACGACAUCUGACACUCAGGGACGAAAGCUAGGGGAGCGAAUGGG
rnacentral:rRNA from 1 species